rnacentral:ncRNA from 1 species
GUCGUGUAGGGAUAGGGAAUUGCAAUUAUUUCCCUUGAACGAGGAAUUCCCAGUAAGCGCGAGUCAUUAGCUCGCGUUGAUUACGUCCCCUGCCCUUUGUACACCACCGCCCGUCGCUACUACCGAUUGAAUGGUUUAGUGAGGUCCUCCGAUUGGACCCGGUCCGGGCGGCGACGUCCGAGCCGGCGUCCGAGAAGACGAUCUAACUUGAUCAUUUAGAGGAAGUAAAAGUCGUAACAAGGUUUCCGUAGGUGAACCUGCGGAAGGAUCAUUA